UGCCACGCCCACAUCAACAUCACCGUGGCGUGUUCACUGACCAUUAAACAGUAGGAAAUGUCACUCAGCAAUGAGACCUGGGUCACGCUGACAUCAUGGUUGUGUUCUGUGUCCAUAUGAGUUUGAAUCUGCUUCAGUGAGGAGAACAUCACAGUCCACGCUUCCUUCAAACAGUCCACAGACCCGUCAGGUCUGAGCGUCGGGGACAUUUCACGCUUUUUGAAAUCAGCUCUCAGGAUUACAGCAGCUCAUGGAUGUCAUCAGUUUCCUGUUCUGGAAUUGGUUUUAUAGAAAAAUCCUGAUAUCUGACAGCUCAUGGGAAGGACCAAAGGGAGGAGGCCAGAUAUGAUAGCUGAGCAAAAAUGUUCUAUAACAAAAGUAAAAUAAGCAAACUCAUGUAGCUCAGUGAAGUCAGCGGGAUGUGCAGUGUCUGGAUCUGUGACAUGGACUGAAAGAAACCAUAACACAAACCAAACAGCCAAAAUCAAACUCCAAGUAGAGACAGAAAUCCUGCUGCCACCAUUCAUUUCUGUUUGGAAGCAGACAUAAAGUCCUCGUGCUGUCAAAUCCAGAACCACUCGAGCCUUUUGGAGCCGUUUACAUCUGUGAAAAAGGUGGAAACAUGUCAAACAUGUGAGGAAGAACCAGCAGCAGCUCACACGUUUACCACAACCACACACAGUCCUCUGAGAGCAGCGUGGCCUCCAUCUUUGAAACAAAGUUCACAGUGAAAAUCAAACAAACUCGCUGAUUGAUUAUUGAUUGAUUUUCAGAGAUGAUGUCAGAUCGGGGCUGCUCAGGGUGCUGUGGCUGUAAAACGCCAAUCAUAUCCACUCAGAGAGCCUAACUAAGCCCCGCCCCUCUUCAUACACCUUUUCAUAGAGGACACACACACUGAUGCAGGAACAGAUGGAUGCACAUGAAAGCUUCACACACUCCUGAUGAGUGAGGACACACACACUCACAACAUGAGCAGCCAGCAGGCUUUAAAUGCUCAGUGUGAAGAAGUUUCCACACUUACCUUAAUAUCAUCAAGCAGCCUUCUUCUUCUACUGGUUCCCACAGUUCCCAGUGUUAAUAAAUGCACAGCCACAUGUGCUCUCUGUCAUCAGCUACAGAUCUGAGAUCAGUAGCUUGUCCACUGUAGGCUUUAUCUUUUCCAUGUAACUGUGCUGCUUCACAGAGAGGGAGAACUGCAGCGCUUUGUUUGCUUGUGAACAAUAUGUGCAUGUUAAAUAUGAACAGCUGCUCCAGCAUGUGUUAGUGUGACAGAC
ensembl:lncRNA